CCGGCACGGGUGAGUAACACGUAUGCAAUCCACCUGUAACAGGGGGAUAACCCGGAGAAAUCCGGACUAAUACCCCAUAAUAUGGGCGCUCCGCAUGGAGAGCCCAUUAAAGAGAGCAAUUUUGGUUACAGACGAGCAUGCGCUCCAUUAGCCAGUUGGCGGGGUAACGGCCCACCAAAGCAACGAUGGAUAGGGGUUCUGAGAGGAAGGUCCCCCACAUUGGAACUGAGACACGGUCCAA
rnacentral:rRNA from 1 species